rnacentral:rRNA from 1 species
CCUACGGGAGGCAGCAGUGAGGAAUAUUGGUCAAUGGGCGCGAGCCUGAACCAGCCAAGUAGCGUGAAGGAUGACUGCCCUACGGGUUGUAAACUUCUUUUAUAAGGGAAUAAAGAGAGGCACGUGUGCAUUUUUGUAUGUACUUUAUGUACAAGGAUCGGCUAACUCCGUGCCAGCAGCCGCGGUAAUACGGAGGAUCCGAGCGUUAUCCGGAUUUAUUGGGUUUAAAGGGAGCGUAGGUGGGUUGUUAAGUCAGUUGUGAAAGUUUGCGGCUCAAACGUAGAAUUGCAAUUGAUACUGGCAGUCUUGAGUGCAGGUGAGGUAGGCGGAAUUCGUGGUGUAGCGGUGAAAUGCUUAGAGAUCACGAAGAACUCCGAUGGCGAAGGCAGCUUACUAGACUGCCACUGACACUGAUGCACGAAAGUGUGGGUAUCAAACAGGAUUAGAUACCCUGGUAGUC